AAUCCUUGUUGCUGAAGUGUGGACUAUGUUUCAUCCUGGCCACAUUAUACACAUCCACUAUACGGCAAGAAGCCGAAGUUGUCUAAUGUCCGUGACAGGAAAACGAUGGAAUACCGAAUAUAGGGUGACUCAGAUACAUUCUCGUUACAGCCCAGCGGUCUUCAUCUGCGCAUGUAAACACUGUGGAACACAUACAAAACAGUGGAUAUGCAGUGAUGCCAACGGAGAGAAAAGAGCGCCGGGCGAUUGAGAGGUCCAGUCCAUUCAUAAACAAGCCACAGUUCCGGAUGGUGCCCAGCUGAUCGCCCACGCCGGCCAAAAGGAAGCCGAACAGAGGGAUGCCUAGCAGGGCGUAGACGAUGCAGAAGAUUCUCCCGCCUUCUGUGUGAGGAGAGAUGUUGCCAAAGCCUGCAGAGAAGACCAGAGGCAGGACUGAAGAACAUGUCACACAGUUCCCUCCGCCAAGUCCAGGGUGUACCCCGCCUCUCGCCCGAAGGCAGCUGGGAUAGGCUCCAGCAUACCCCCGUGACCCUAAUGAGGAUGAGUGGCAUAGAAGAUGGAUGGAUGGAUGGCUGUGAUGGACCACAAACUAGUAGUGACUGAAUGAUCAGCGCGUCUUCUGGUUGCUUUCAG